rnacentral:rRNA from 1 species
CCUACGGGAGGCAGCAGUGAGGAAUAUUGGUCAAUGGACGCAAGUCUGAACCAGCCAUGCCGCGUGCAGGAAGACGGCUCUAUGAGUUGUAAACUGCUUUUGUACGAGGGUAAACGCAGAUACGUGUAGGGGUCUGAAAGUAUCGUACGAAUAAGGAUCGGCUAACUCCGUGCCAGCAGCCGCGGUAAUACGGAGGAUUCAAGCGUUAUCCGGAUUUAUUGGGUUUAAAGGGUGUGUAGGCGGUCGGAUAAGUUAGAGGUGAAAUCCCGAGGCUCAACUUCGGAAUUGCCUCUGAUACUGUUCGCCUAGCGCGUAGUUGCGGUAGGCGGAAUGUGUGGUGUAGCGGUGAAAUGCUUAGACAUCAUUCAGAACACCGAUUGCGAAGGCAGCUUACCAAGCUACUUCUGACGUUGAUGCACGAAAGCGUGGGGAGCAAACAGGAUUAGAUACCCUAGUAGUC